rnacentral:rRNA from 1 species
UAAGGAAUAUUGGUCAAUGGGGGCAACCCUGAACCAGCCAUGCCGCGUGCAGGAUGACUGCCCUAUGGGUUGUAAACUGCUUUUGUUAGGGAAUAAACCACAUUACGUGUAGUGUGCUGAAUGUACCGAAGGAAUAAGGAUCGGCUAACUCCGUGCCAGCAGCCGCGGUAAUACGGAGGAUCCAAGCGUUAUCCGGAUUUAUUGGGUUUAAAGGGUGCGUAGGCGGCUUAUUAAGUCGGGGGUGAAAGACGGUGGCUCAACCAUCGCAGUGCCCUUGAUACUGAUGAGCUUGAAUGGACUAGAGGUAGGCGGAAUGUGACAAGUAGCGGUGAAAUGCAUAGAUAUGUCUCAGAACACCGAUUGCGAAGGCAGCUGUCUAAGCCGUUAUUGACGCUGAUGCACGAAAGCGUGGGGAUCGAACA